AUCGCAAGGUUGAGGCCAUAGCAGAAGUGCUUACUGUGUAGCCCUGUCAGAUUCCAAUAAAAUCUGCAAAUUCUGCU
rnacentral:ribozyme from 1 species